CAGUGAUAGUGAUUUCUGCUGCUGCUGCGUUCGCUGCUUUCAUUACUGUUCUUCUCUGGUUGAUCUGGAGAAAAAGAGCUGGUAAUAAAAGAGAGACUGAUGAAUCGGCGGUCAAAAAUGAGACGAUCAACAUGUCCACUCCUGCUGCUGCGAGAGACAAUG